GUAGGGAAUAUUGCGCAAUGGGGGAAACCCUGACGCAGCGACGCCGCGUGAGUGAUGAAGGCCUUCGGGUCGUAAAGCUCUGUUGCAGGGGAAUAAAAAAAUGAAGGUACCCUGUGAGGAAGGAUCGGCUAACUUCGUGCCAGCAGCCGCGGUAAGACGAGGGAUCCUAGCGUUGCUCGGAAUCAUUGGGCGUAAAGAGGGCGUAGGUGGCUUGGUAAGUCAGGUGUGAAAGCCCAGGGCUCAACCCUGGAAGUGCAUUUGAUACUGCUGAGCUUGAGUGUCGGAGAGGUUACCGGAAUACCUGGUGUAGUGGUGAAAUACGUAGAUAUCAGGUGGAACACCGGAGGCGAAGGCGGGUAACUGGACGAACACUGACGCUGAGGCCCGAAAGCGUGGGGAUCAAACAGGAUUAGAAACCCCGGUAGUCC
rnacentral:rRNA from 1 species